GCGCCCGUAGCUCAGUUGGAUAGAGCGUCUGCCUCCGGAGCAGAAGGUCAGCAGUUCGAAUCUGCUCGGGCGUACCA
rnacentral:tRNA from 1 species